AACCGCCGUGUCUAUGGGGGCAAAGAGAUUAUUCGCAGACGACGACGACUACGAGCUGUAUUAUAAUGAUCAGACGAUUAUGCUGUGAAACGGCUAAUUGAAUUCGCCUUUGUAGUAUUAUACGUUAUACGGUGUACCUCUACAAUCAAAUUAGUGUCACGAUUACCGAACAGAAUCAUCUCGGUCGUUGAAUUAUUUACACGAUAUUAUUAAAAUA